rnacentral:rRNA from 1 species
GAGGAAUAUUGGUCAAUGGGCGUAAGCCUGAACCAGCCAUCCCGCGUGCAGGAAGAAGGCGCUAUGCGUUGUAAACUGCUUUUCCAGGGGAAGAAAACCUGAUACGUGUAUCGGCUUGCCGGUACCCUGGGAAUAAGCAUCGGCUAACUCCGUGCCAGCAGCCGCGGUAAUACGGAGGAUGCAAGCGUUAUCCGGAUUUAUUGGGUUUAAAGGGUGCGUAGGCGGAUUAAUAAGUCAGUGGUGAAAACCUGCAGCUUAACUGUAGAACUGCCAUUGAUACUGUUAGUCUUGAGUACGGUCAAGGUAGGCGGAAUGUGUAAUGUAGCGGUGAAAUGCUUAGAUAUUACACAGAACACCGAUUGCGAAGGCAGCUUACUGGGCCAUUACUGACGCUGAUGCACGAAAGCGUGGGGAGCGAAC